GGGGGCGUACCGGGUUCGACGGGGACAGUUGGGUCGUCGGCAGCGUGUCGUGGUCCGUCGCCACGUAAAAUGGCGGAAACCACAGCUGCCAACAAUCAGCUCGCUCUGGCUGCCUAAGUGACGGCCACGUCGUGAUCGAAGACCCCCGCCUGUGGAUCUGAUCACGGCGACGCUCAAACAGGCUGGGUCGCCGCCUCGCCCGGCGGCGGCGACCGAGAACCAACGGGCUGGUCGCAGCGGUGGGAAGCCCACGUCCAGCCGCUGCGACGAGAACGAACCGUGGGCUGCACACGGAGACACCGCCGACCCAGGUCUUCCGGACGGGGGUUCGAUUCCCCCCGCCUCCACCA
rnacentral:tmRNA from 1 species